rnacentral:miRNA from 1 species
UUCUCUAGUGUGUUUUCCCAAC